rnacentral:rRNA from 1 species
UGUGAGAGCAAGAGCCCGGAGAUGGAACCUGAGACAAGGUUCCAGGCCCUACGGGGUGCAGCAGGCGCGAAACCUCCGCAAUGUGAGAAAUCGCGACGGGGGGAUCCCAAGUGCCAUUCUUAACGGGAUGGCUUUUCAUUAGUGUAAAGAGCUUUUGGAAUAAGGGCUGGGCAAGACCGGUGCCAGCCGCCGCGGUAACACCGGCAGCUCUAGUGGUAGCAGUUUUUAUUGGGCCUAAAGCGUCCGUAGCCGGUUUAAUAAGUCUCUGGUGAAAUCCUGUAGCUUAACUGUGGGAAUUGCUGGAGAUACUAUUAGACUUGAGACCGGGAGAGGUUAGAGGUACUCCCAGGGUAGAGGUGAAAUUCUGUAAUCCUGGGAGGACCGCCUGUUGCGAAGGCGUCUAACUGGAACGGUUCUGACGGUGAGGGACGAAAGUUAGGGGCGCGAACCGGAUUAGAUACCCGGGUAGUCCUAACUGUAAACGAUGCGGACUUGGUGUUGGGGUGGCUUUGAGCUGCUCCAGUGCCGAAGGGAAGCUGUUAAGUCCGCCGCCUGGGAAGUACGGUCGCAAGACUGAAACUUAA